UUUUUUUUUUUUUUUUUUGAGACUGAGUCUUGCUCUGUUGCCCAGGCUGGAGUGCAAUGGUGAGAUCUUGGUUCACUGCAACCUCUGCCUCCCAGAUUCAAGCAAUUGUCCUGCCUCAGCCUCCCAAGUAGCUGGGACUACAGGCAUGUGCCACCACACUCGGGUAAUUUUUAUGUUUUUAGUAGACACGGGGUUUCACUAUGUUGGCCAGGCUGGUCUUGAACUCCUGACCUCAGGUGAUCCACCUGCCUCAGCCUCCCAAAGUGCUGGGAUUACAGGAGUGAGCCACCACACCCAGCCAAGAUUUGGGCAGAGACCAAUAGCCAAACUUUAUCAGACACUAACAAGAUCCCUGUGGCUGCCAGUUGAGAACAGAUUACAGGGUUUGUGAAGGAAUGAGGCCUGGAGGAACAGUGAGGAGGCUGCUGCAGUAGUCCCGGCAGGAAAUGACGGGGAUUGGACCAGGGUGGGGGCGGUGAACGCAGGAGAAAUGUGGGCUGGGAACCACCAAGUGAGGCAAAAGAAGGAAAUCAUGGACUGGGAGAAAGGAGGUACCCCUUGAUCUGGAAGCACAGGUGGAGGCUCUUGGUAAUGGGGGAAGCCCUUGGGUCCUGUCUGAAGGCUCUCCUGUUUACUGGAUGAGGUGGGCACACCUGGCUCCUUGGUAGGAGUACUCAUCUAGAUUCCUGAGAAGAGGACUUGCACGUAUUGUGUUAGGACAAAUCUGGAUGUUAGAAUCAAGAUUCCCAGUUAAAAAAAAAAAAGGCCAGGCACAUGGCUCACGUUGUGAUCCUAGCACUCUGGGAGGCCAAGGCAGGUAGAUCACAAGAGGCCAGGAGUUUGAGACCGGCCUGGACAACAUGGCAAAACCCUGUCCCUACUAGAAAGGCAAAAAUUAGCCAGGCAUGGUGAUGGUGGGUGCCUGUAAUCCCAGCUACUCAGGAGGCUGAGGCAGAAGAAUUGCUUGAACCCAAGAAGCAGAGGUUGCAGUGAGUUGAGAUUGCGCCACCGCACUCCAGCCUGGGCGACAGAAUGAGAGAGAGAAGGAGGGAGAGAGAGGGAGGGAGGGAGGGAGGGAGGGAGGAAGGAAGGAAGGCAGGAAGGAAGGAAGGAAGGAAGGAAGGAAGGAAGGAAGGAAGGAAGGAAGGAAGGAAGGAAGGAAGGAAAGGAAGGGAAGGAAAAUGCAAACUCUUGCCCUGCCCUAGAAUUACUGAAUCAGAAACCAGUGUUUCAACAAAACCUUCAGGGAACCUCUAUUUUACCUGCCUUAAUUUAGCUCCCUCUAUCCUCAAACUGCCCUAUGAAAUAGGACAAUUGUUGUCUGCCCUCUACAGUUGAGGAAACUGAGGCACAAAGAAGCUAAGUAAUUCCCCAGAUCCCACAGACAGUAAGCAGCAGAACUGGCCUUUCCAUCUGGUUUCAGAAUCCUACCUCUACCCUCUUACGCUAUGGCACCACUACAAUCAUGGAAAAAUAGUUCCAAUAAUAAUAUAAAAGAACGGCUGACCUUUACUGAGUACUCUCUCGGUUCUAAGCCCUGUUCUCCCUCAAUCAAUCCUCCCAUUUACAUUUUAUGGAUGAAAGAAACCAAGGCAUGGAUGGUUAAGGAAUGUGCCCGAUGUCGUGUACCCAAAACAUGGCAUAGCUGGCAUCUGAACAUUUGUUCAUGGAUUUAACAGAUUCUCACCAACUUGGAGUCUCUAUAUCUAUGUCUCUUCCAUGUGCCUCAUGGAUUCCUGGCCCCACCCUGACUUACCCUUUUCGGGUCUCCAUCCUCCGCUCCCCACAUCUCUUUUUGCCUCUAGGUUGAAGUGCUCAUGGAGGGAAUCUGUCUUGCCUUUUGCUAUAGAUUGGUGACAACUCGCACCCCCCAACACACACACUUUUUGUCCAGCUCUGACCUAACCAUCUAUGGCAAGAGGUAGGGUUAUGUGAACCCAAUGUGGCCACUCUAUCAGGAAGGAUUCUUUUCUUUUCUUUUCUUUUUUCUCUUUUCUUUUCUUUUU
rnacentral:lncRNA from 1 species